rnacentral:rRNA from 1 species
GACGAACGCUGGCGGCGUGCUUAACACAUGCCAGUCGAACGGAAAGGCCCUGCUUUUGUUGUGUGCUCGAGUGGCGAACGGGUGAGUAACACGUGAGUAACCUGCCCUUGACUUUGGGAUAACUUCAGGAAACUGGGGCUAAUACCGGAUAGGAGCUCCUGCUGCAUGUUGGGUGUUGGAAAGUUUCGGCGGUUGGGGAUGGACUCGCGGCUUAUCAGCUUGUUGGUGGGGUAGUGGCUUACCAAGGCUUUGACGGGUAGCCGGCCUGAGAGGGUGACCGGCCACAUUGGGACUGAGAUACGGCCCAGACUCCUACGGGAGGCAGCAGUGGGGAAUAUUGCAAAAUGGGCGGAAGACUGAUGCAGCAACGCCGAGUGCGGGAUGACGGCCUUCGGGUUGUAAACCGCUUUCGCCGGUGACGAAGCGUGAGUGACGGUAAUGGGUAAAGAAGCACCGGCUAACUACGUG